GACAGAGGGGCAAGCGUUGCUCGGAAUUACUGGGCGUAAAGGGCGCGUAGGCGGAAUGGCAAGUCGGUCGUGAAAUCCUUCGGCUCAACCGAAGAACGUCGAUCGAACUGCCGUUCUUGAGGAUUGCAGAGGAGACUGGAAUUCCCGGUGUAGCGGUGAAAUGCGUAGAUAGUCCGGAGGAACACCGGUGGCGAAGGCGGCUUCCUGGACCGACACUGACGCUGAGGCGGCGAAAGCUAGGGGAGCAAACAGG
rnacentral:rRNA from 1 species